GUGCUUUGGCAGCACAUGUACUAAAUUUGGAUUGAUACAGAGAAGAUUAGCAUGGGCCCUGCUCAAGGAUGACACAUGAAUUCGUGAAGCGUUUCAGAGUUUU